rnacentral:rRNA from 1 species
AUUGAACGCUGGCGGCAGGCCUAACACAUGCAAGUCGAGCGGAUGAAGGGAGCUUGCUCCUGGAUUCAGCGGCGGACGGGUGAGUAAUGCCUAGGAAUCUGCCUGGUAGUGGGGGAUAACGUCCGGAAACGGGCGCUAAUACCGCAUACGUCCUGAGGGAGAAAGUGGGGGAUCUUCGGACCUCACGCUAUCAGAUGAGCCUAGGUCGGAUUAGCUAGUUGGUGGGGUAAAGGCCUACCAAGGCAACGAUCCGUAACUGGUCUGAGAGGAUGAUCAGUCACACUGGAACUUAGACACGGUCCAGACUCCUACGGGAGGCAGCAGUGUGGAAUAUUAGACAAUGGGCGAAAGCCUGAUACAGCCAUGCCGCGUGUGUGAAGAAAGUCUUCGGAUUGUAAAGCACUUUAAGUUUGGAGGAAGGGCAGUAAGUUAAUACCUUGCUGUUUUGACGUUACCAACAGAAUAAGCACCGGCUAACUUCGUG